rnacentral:rRNA from 1 species
GACGAACGCUGGCGGCGUGCUUAACACAUGCAAGUCGAACGGAAAGGCCCUGCUUUUGUGGGGUGCUCGAGUGGCGAACGGGUGAGUAACACGUGAGUAACCUGCCCUUGACUUUGGGAUAACUUCAGGAAACUGGGGCUAAUACCGGAUAGGAGCUCCUGCUGCAUGGUGGGGGUUGGAAAGUUUCGGCGGUUGGGGAUGGACUCGCGGCCUAUCAGCUUGUUGGUGGGGUAGUGGCUUACCAGGCUUUGACGGGUAGCCGGCCUGAGAGGGUGACCGGCCACAUUGGGACUGAGAUACGGCCCAGACUCCUACGGGAGGCAGCAGUGGGGAAUAUUGCACAAUGGACGGAAGCCUGAUGCAGCAACGCCGCGUGCGGGAUGACGGCCUUCGGGUUGUAAACCGCUUUCGCCUGUGACGAAGCGUGAGUGACGGUAAUGGGUAAAGAAGCACCGGCUAACUACGUG